rnacentral:rRNA from 1 species
AUUGAACGCUGGCGGCAUGCCUUACACAUGCAAGUCGAACGGCAGCACGGGUGCUUGCACCUGGUGGCGAGUGGCGAACGGGUGAGUAAUACAUCGGAACAUGUCCUGUAGUGGGGGAUAGCCCGGCGAAAGCCGGAUUAAUACCGCAUACGAUCUACGGAUGAAAGCGGGGGACCUUCGGGCCUCGCGCUAUAGGGUUGGCCGAUGGCUGAUUAGCUAGUUGGUGGGGUAAAGGCCUACCAAGGCGACGAUCAGUAGCUGGUCUGAGAGGACGACCAGCCACACUAGGACUGAGACACGGCCCAGACUCCUACGGGAGGCAGCAGUGGGGAAUUUUGGACAAUGGGCGAAAGCCUGAUCCAGCAAUGCCGCGUGUGUGAAGAAGGCCUUCGGGUUGUAAAGCACUUUUGUCCGGAAAGAAAUCCUUGGCCCUAAUACGGUCGGGGGAUGACGGUACCGGAAGAAUAAGCACCGGCUAACUACGUG